GUCACUAAGACACAAAAGAUGUUUACUUCUGACUUCCAGGUAGAGCUAUAUCAGGAUACUGCUGGAUUUCCAGUCAGAUGAACUUCAAAUCUGAUUCUGAUCUCACCAGAAGCCCCCACGCCCACCCUUGCCAUUUACCUGCAAGCAAGAACCAUUCAACACUCUGGUCUGAUAAUGGGAUCAUCAACAUUUGGAUCAAUGGCUGAGAAAAUCUGUGAAAAAUAACCUUAGAUUCUCUAGACCCACAGCCGAGAAUCUGCCCAGGAACCUUCUCUGAACUGCUUCCAAUAUUUUGACAAUGUGCCAAAUGUGACUUCACUACAUGAACUGAGUUCUAGGAAGAGUCACCAGACCUGAAGCAUCAACUGAUUUCCCUUCACAUUUACUGUCAGACUUGCUGAGCUUUUCCAGCAAUUCCUAUUUCUGAUUCAUGCAGCAUUUGCAAUUCUUUAAAAAAAAAUUGGUCUGAAGUUUGUAACUGUAAAUGGGUAUCUUGAAUUUUAAACCCUGUCAAUCCAACAUGAUAGGCUUUAAAUGACUGAAAAUGAGUUUAUUUAUAUUGUAGUGUUCUCGACACUUUUUCGAAUGAAAUAUUGUUUCAAAGUUUUAAAACAAGCCUAUUCAUGUUCUUGUCAUCUAAAGAAC